UACAGAGGUCCCAAGCGUUGUUCGGAUUCACUGGGCGUAAAGGGUGCGUAGGUGGUGAGGUAGGUCUGCUGUGAAAACUCGAGGCUUAACCUCGAGCUGUCGGCGGAAACCAUCUGGCUAGAGUCCGGAAGAGGAGAAUGGAAUUCCCGGUGUAGCGGUGAAAUGCGCAGAUAUCGGGAAGAACACCCGUGGCGAAGGCGGUUCCCUGGGACGGUACUGACGCUGAGACGCGAAAGCGUGGGGAGCGAACAGG
rnacentral:rRNA from 1 species